rnacentral:lncRNA from 1 species
GGGCGACUUAGAGGAACUAGGGCACUAGUAGCCUGAGUUUGGGGAUGAGCAUCCCUACUUCCUGGCUUAGCAUGCGAGCAUUCCUUGAUACCAUGGCCUAACUGACCAUAUCCAAAACAACUUUUCUAACCCAAUAAGCACUCACCAGGAUGAUUCUUACCAUAUCUAGAACAUGAAGGAUAACUAGGCCUUCCACCCAUACUAUUCUGAGAUCUGGACAUUGAACCCCUACCCUACUGUUCCUGCUUGGUUUUGGGAACGGGGGCACUAGCUGAAGAUGGUGCUGACAAAGGCGGACGAUUUUGAAACUACAAAUGAUUUUCUCCUACAAAUCUUGAUUGAUCAUACAUAAACUACCCAG